AAGGAGUCGCAGUUGUGAACAGGUUUGGUGCCGCGGGCUGGGGUAGGCGGCGGUUGGGUCCGUGGCUCUGGGGCACUGGGAAGAUCGCGAGUCGUGCGCAUGGGAAGGUCCUCCCCCGGUCCUCCGGGUCAUCUUUGCUCCCGAGGAGCGGCAUAUUUCGCAUCUGCCUGAGGUUAGAGUUACUUGUUAUUGGUAAAUAGCCACUAUGGAGACUAAGGACCAGAAGAAACACAGAAAGAAAAACGGUGGACCCAAAGCUGCAAAGAAAAAGAAGUGGCAUCUGCAGGAUCUCCAGCUAGGAGACUAAGAAAAUGCCCAGAAGAGAAAUGCCAAUGCUUUUGCAGUUCAGUCUGCUGUGUGGAUGUCUCGAUCCUUUCACAGGACUCUGGAUUUGAAGACACAAAAGCAUCAUAUUCCAGUGGUUGAUGGAACUCCACUAGAGCCGCCACCAAUACCGGUAGUGGUGACGGGGCCUCCAAAGUUGGAAAGAGCACUUUGAUAUAAUGCCUCAUUCGGAACUUCACCUGGCAGAAGUUCACCGAGAUCAGAGGCCCUGUGACGAUCGUGUCAGGUAAAAAGCGCAGACUCACCAUUAUUGAAUGUGGGUGUGACAUUAACAUGAUGAUUGAUCUGGCUAAAGUAGCAGAUCUGGUACUGAUGCUUAUAGAUGCCAGCUUUGGGUUUGAAAUGGAAAUGUUUGAGUUUCUAAACAUCUGUCAAGCACAUGGCUUUCCUAAAAUUCUGGGAGUUCUCACCCACCUCGACUCCUUCAAGCAUAACAAGCAACUGAAGAAGACAAAGAAGCGAUUAAAACACAGGUUCUGGACAGAAGUUUACCAGGUUGCCAAACUGUUCUACCUUUCUGGAAUGGUGCAUGGAGAAUAUCAAAACCAAGAAAUCCACAAUCUGGGCCAUUUUAUUACAGUUAUGAAGUUUAGGCCUCUCAUGGCAAACUUUUCACCCUUAUAUCCUGGCAGACAGGAUGGAAGAUUUGACAAACCCGGAGGAUAUCCAAACAAACAUCAAAUGUGACCGGCAGGUGUCACUUUAUGGUUAUUUAAGAGGAGCACACUUCAAAGAUAAAAGCCAAAUUCACAUGCCAGGACAAGGUGGGGCUCACCCAUGAGCUGGUCCAGAGUCUCAUCUCCACCUACUCCACCAUUGAUGCCAAGAUGGCUUCAAGUCGAGUGACGCUGCUUUCCAAUUCCAAACCACUUGGGUCAGAGGCUAUAGAUAAUCAAGGCGUCAGCCUCGAGUUUGACCAGCAGCAGGGGUCGGUGUGUCCCUCUGAAUCUGAGAUCUAUGAGGCAGGAGCUGAGGACAGGAUGGCAGGAGCGCCCAUGGCUGCUGCUGUACAGCCUGCUGAGGUGACUGUUGAAGUUGGUGAGGACCUCCACAUGCACCAGGUUCGUGACCGGGAGAUGCCUGAAGCUUUGGAGUUUAACCUUUCUGCCAAUCCAGAGGCAAGCACAAUAUUCCAGAGGAACUCUCAAACAGAUGCUUUGGAGUUUAACUCUUCUGCCAAUCCAGAGGCAAGCACAAUAUUCCAGAGGAACUCUCAAACAGAUGUUGUAGAAAUAAGAAGAAGCAACUGUACAAACCAUGUAUCUACUGAGCGUUUCAGUCAACAAUACAGCUCGUGUUCGACAAUAUUCCUUGAUGACAGCACAGCCAUCCAGCAUUAUCUUACAAUGACAAUAAUAUCUGUGACCUUGGAGAUACCUCAUCAUAUCACACAAAGAGAUGCAGAUAGAUCUUUGAGCAUACCUGAUGAACAGUUACACUCAUUUGCGGGUUUCACCAUGUUGGCCAGGAUGGUCUUGAACUCCUGACCUCGUGAUCCACCCACCUUGGCCUCCCAAAGUGCUGUGAUUACAGGUGUGAGCCACCAUGCCUGGCCCAGAAAAUGUAUCUUUUUAAAAGGUAAUUGUGAGCUGUCUAUAGGAUCCUGCAAGCCACUACCCAAUUUUUGAAGCCAUUCCUCCUCCUGUUCCACACAGGUUUCCACCGUGCACAUUAUGAAGAAAAGAAAUGGAGGUGGGAGUUUAAAUAACUAUUCCUCCUCCAUUCCACCGACUCCCAGCACCAGCCAGGAGGACCCUCAGUUCAGUGUUCCUCCCACUGCCAACACACCCACCCCCGUUUGCAAGCGGUCCAUGCGCUGGUCCAACCUGUUUACAUCUGAGAAAGGGAGUGACCCAGACAAAGAGAGGAAAGCCCCGGAGAAUCAUGCUGACACCAUCGGGAGCGGCAGAGCCAUCCCCAUUAAACAGGGCAUGCUCUUAAAGCGAAGUGGAAAAUGGCUGAAGACAUGGAAAAAGAAAUACGUCACCCUGUGUUCCAAUGGCGUGCUCACCUAUUAUUCAAGCUUAGGUGAUUAUAUGAAGAAUAUUCAUAAAAAAGAGAUUGACCUUCGGACAUCUACCAUCAAAGUCCCAGGAAAGUGGCCAUCCCUAGCCACAUCAGCCUGUGCACCCAUCUCCAGCUCUAAAAGCAAUGGCCUAUCCAAGGACAUGGACACCGGGCUGGGUGACUCCAUAUGCUUCAGCCCCGGUAUCUCCAGCACCACCAGCCCCAAGCUCAACCCGCCCCCCUCUCCUCAUGCCAAUAAAAAGAAACACCUAAAGAAGAAAAGCACCAACAACUUUAUGAUUGUGUCUGCCACUGGCCAAACGUGGCACUUUGAAGCCACGACGUAUGAGGAGCGGGAUGCCUGGGUCCAAGCCAUCCAGAGCCAGAUCCUGGCCAGCCUGCAGUCAUGCAAGAGCAGUAAAAGCAAGUCCCAGCUGACCAGCCAGAGUGAGGCCAUGGCCCUGCAGUCGAUCCAAAACAUGCGUGGGAACGCCCACUGUGUGGACUGUGAGACCCAGAAUCCUAAGUGGGCCAGUUUGAACUUGGGAGUCCUCAUGUGUAUUGAAUGCUCAGGUAUCCACCGCAGUUUUGGCACCCGCCUUUCCCGUGUGCGAUCUCUGGAGCUGGAUGACUGGCCAGUUGAGCUCAGGAAGGUUAUGUCAUCUAUUGGCAAUGAGCUAGCCAACAGCAUCUGGGAAGGGAGCAGCCAGGGGCAGACAAAACCCUCAAUAAAGUCCACGAGGGAAGAGAAGGAAUGGUGGAUCCGUUCCAAAUAUGAGGAGAAGCUCUUUCUGGCCCCACUACCCUGCACUGAGCUGUCCCUGGGCCAGCAGCUGCUGCGGGCCACCACUGAUGAGGACCUGCAGACAGCCAUCCUGCUGCUGGCACAUGGCUCCCGUGAGGAGGUGAACGAGACCUGUGGGGAGGGAGACGGCUGCACGGCACUCCAUCUGGCCUGCCGCAAGGGGAAUGUGGUCCUGGAGCAGCUCCUGACGGGGUGGACGUCAUGGCCCGAGAUGCCCACGGGAACACAGCGCUGACCUACGCCCGGCAGGCCUCCAGCCAGGAGUGCAUCAACGUGCUUCUGCAGUACGGCUGCCCCGACGAGUGCGUGUAGUAUCUGUUUUAUUUGACUGCAGUCUCCUUGGUGCAAAAACAAAAUGGGAAAAAUAAGGAUAACUCAGAAUUUCAAAAGGAAAUCACAAAUUCAGCUAGUAAUAGCAUUUUCAGUACUUUUCGUAAACUAAGUAAAUACACAAAAUGUUGAUUUUUCUGACCAUAAGACAUAUUUUAUGUCCUUUUGCCAAGGUGGAUGUGUUAGUCUCAGGCCCUCCUGGCCACAUUGCCCAAGUCACACAGGCUUCUGUAUUAUGUAUUUAGAUAAAAUGUGUGAAAAUAUAUUUGAAAAAAAAUUUCAUAAAUGUGCAUUGAUUUUUGUA